rnacentral:lncRNA from 1 species
CUCUGCCAUCCUCUCCACUCCAGCUACACGGGCCCCCCGUCCUCUGCCAUCUUCUCCAGUCCAACCACAAUGGCCUCCUGUCCUUCACCAUCCUCCCAGCUCCAGCCACACUGGCCUCCCAUCCUCUGCCAUCCUCUCCACCACAGCCACACCAGCCUCCUGGCCUCUGCCAUCCUUUCCACUCCAGCCACACUGGCUUCCCUGCUGAACUAAAGGCUCCCACCACAGGGUCUUCACACUUCCUAUGGCCUCCAUGUGAAGCCUCCCUCACUUCUUCAGGUCUUUCUUCAAAAACAUUUUCAUGGAUGAGCUCAUCAUAUCCAUGGCUACCCUUGCCAUUGCCAUGCCAAUGA